rnacentral:rRNA from 1 species
CCUACGGGCGGCAGCAGUGGGGAAUAUUGGGCAAUGGGCGCAAGCCUGACCCAGCAACGCCGCGUGAAGGAAGAAGGCUUUCGGGUUGUAAACUUCUUUUCUCAGGGACGAAGCAAGUGACGGUACCUGAGGAAUAAGCCACGGCUAACUACGUGCCAGCAGCCGCGGUAAUACGUAGGUGGCAAGCGUUAUCCGGAUUUACUGGGUGUAAAGGGGGUGUAGGCGGGAAAGCAAGUCAGAUGUGAAAUCUGGAGGAUCAACCUCCAAAUUGCAUUUGAAACUGUUUUUCUUGAGUACUGGAGAGGCAGACGGAAUGCCUGGUGUAGCGGUGAAAUGCGUAGAUAUAAGGAGGAACACCAGUGGCGAAGGCGGUCUGCUGGACAGCAACUGACGGUGAGGCGCGAAAGCGUGGGGAGCAAACAGGAUUAGAUACCCCUGUAGUC